rnacentral:rRNA from 1 species
GAUGAACGCUGGCGGCGUGCCUAAUACAUGCAAGUCGAGCGAACGGACGAGAAGCUUGCUUCUCUGAUGUUAGCGGCGGACGGGUGAGUAACACGUGGAUAACCUACCUAUAAGACUGGGAUAACUUCGGGAAACCGUAGCUAAUACCGGAUAAUAUUUUGAACCGCAUGGUUCAAAAGUAAAAAACGGUCUUUCUGUCACUUAUAUGUUGAUCCGCGUUGCAUUAGCUAGUUGGUAAGAUAACGGCCUACCAAGGCAACGAUGCAUCGCCGCCCUGAGAGGGUGACCGGCAACAUUGGAACUGGACACGGCCCAAAACUCUUAGGGGAGGAGCAAGAAGGGAACUUUGGGCAAUGGCGGAAGGCCUGACGGGGCAACGCGGCGUGGGGGAUGAAGGUCUUCGGUCGGUAAAACUCGGUGAUUAGGGAAGAAGAUAUGGGGAAGGGAAUGCGCACAAAUUGACGGUACCUACCCAGAAAGCGACGGCUAACUACGUG